GUGCUCAUUUUGGCAGCACAUCUACUAAAAAUAGAACAAUACCGAAAAGAAUAGCACGGCGCUUGCCCAAGGAUGACCUGCAAGUUCAUGUGAACUGGCAGCUAAAAUU